rnacentral:tRNA from 1 species
GCCGGUGUGGCGGAAUUGGCAGACGCGCGGACUCAAAAUCCCGUUCCACUUGUGGAGUGUCGGUUCGACCCCGACCACCGGUA